UACUCGAUAAUAAAUCAUUUUGCAGAUCAAUGCAUUAAAUGCACAUGUGUGAGAUGAUACACAAAAUCUAAUUCCUGGAGAAAUGGAUUCAGAGCACCCCAUUGCCGGGAAGUCACAUCCUAACCUCCAUUGCAAUGAUGCCUCUCUACGAAACCAUUGCCCCAACUCCUUUAUACCCACUAUGUCUCAAACUCCAUUACUACACGAC
rnacentral:lncRNA from 1 species